AAAUACAAACAUACCUUAAUAGCUCUUUUUAACUAAAUAACACCUUACAAAAAUAAAAAUAAAAAUAAAUUCUGAAAUAAAUUAAAAACAACAAAAAAAAUUAACAUUUAUUUAUAACAAAAAAAUUACUAAAUAAAAAAAUACCAUUUAUGAUUUUUUUAAAUACCAAAUCCUUCUAACCCCAAAUACAACUUCUUAAUUAUUUUUUUCAAACCCUAAACACAACCCUAAUUUUUUCUCAAAUCCCAAACACAACCUCUUCUCCUUCCCUUUCUCCUUUCCUUUUCUUUUCUAUAUUUUUUCCUUCCCCUUCUCCUUUCUCUAUUUUGCUUCUCUUUUUUUUUCUUUCUUUUUUUCCUUCAUUCCCUUCUCGCUCUCUUCUUCUGCUUUUCUUCUAAUUUUUUUCCUUUCAUCCGGCCAAAAUGGGGACAUUGGAGACCUUCUAAUGGUCCCAAAACACAAUUCACGGGCAUAGUCCCAUCCCAUCGCUGCCACCACUAUAGGGGUCUGCUGCUGGCAGCGGGUGUGCCG
rnacentral:lncRNA from 1 species